rnacentral:ncRNA from 1 species
UAUCUUCAGGGCAGGGUGAAAUUCCCGACCGGUGGUAAAGUCCACGAGCGUUUAGCUGAUUUGGUGAAAUUCCAAAACCGAUAGUAAAAGUCUAGAUGAAAGAGGAUU